rnacentral:rRNA from 1 species
UGGGGAAUAUUGGACAAUGGGCGCAAGCCUGAUCCAGCCAUGCCGCGUGAGUGAUGAAGGCCCUAGGGUUGUAAAGCUCUUUCACCGGUGAAGAUAAUGACGGUAACCGGUGAAGAAGCCCCGGCUAACUUCGUGCCAGCAGCCGCGGUAAUACGAAGGGGGCUAGCGUUGUUCGGAUUUACUGGGCGUAAAGCGCACGUAGGCGGACUUUUAAGUCAGGGGUGAAAUCCCGGGGCUCAACCCCGGUAGUGCCUUUGAUACUGGAAGUCUUGAGUAUGGUAGAGGUGAGUGGAAUUCCGAGUGUAGAGGUGAAAUUCGUAGAUAUUCGGGGGAACACCAGUGGCGAAGGCGGCUCACUGGACCAUUACUGACGCUGAGGUGCGAAAGCGUGGAGAGCAAACAGG